rnacentral:pre_miRNA from 1 species
UUAACUUAAAUUUGUAUGGAGUUAGAACGUUUGCCUACGUUUGCCGCUAGGGGCGCUGUUCCAGCUGCAUAUAAAUUUGUGUUA